UACGUAGGGUGCAAGCGUUAUCCGGAAUUAUUGGGCGUAAAGAGCUCGUAGGCGGUUUGUCGCGUCUGCUGUGAAAACUGGGGGCUCAACCCCCAGCCUGCAGUGGGUACGGGCAGACUAGAGUGCGGUAGGGGAGAUUGGAAUUCCUGGUGUAGCGGUGGAAUGCGCAGAUAUCAGGAGGAACACCGGUGGCGAAGGCGGGUCUCUGGGCCGAUACUGACACUGAGGAGCGAAAGCGUGGGGAGCGAACAGG
rnacentral:rRNA from 1 species